rnacentral:rRNA from 1 species
AGCGAACGCUGGCGGCAGGCUUAACACAUGCAAGUCGAACGCCCCGCAAGGGGAGUGGCAGACGGGUGAGUAACACGUGGGAACGUACCCUUUGGUUAGGAAUAACUUGGGGAAACUCAAGCUAAUACCGGAUAAGCCCUUAUGGGGAAAGGUUUACUGCCGAAGGAUCGGCCCGCGUCUGAUUAGCUAGUUGGUGAGGUAAUGGCUCACCAAGGCGACGAUCAGUAGCUGGUCCGAGAGGAUGAUCAGCCACACUGGGACUGAGACACGGCCCAGACUCCUACGGGAGGCAGCAGUGGGGAAUAUUGGACAAUGGGGGCAACCCUGAUCCAGCCAUGCCGCGUGAGUGAUGAAGGCCUUAGGGUUGUAAAGCUCUUUUACCCGGGACGAUAUUGACUGUACCGGGAGAAUAAGCCCCGGCUAACUUCGUGCCAGCAGCCGCGGUAA